rnacentral:lncRNA from 1 species
ACCAGGGAGCACAAUGCUGUUUGCUGUUGUGCCCACUGCAAUUUGGCUCUUGGCACACCUCGCAGCAGAAGCAAGCAGUAAAGGGGACAUGACUGCUGGCAGACUUCCCCACGGUGCUGCAGAACUAUGUGACAAAGGGAAUAUGACUGCUAACACCUCUUCCUAUGUCCAGCCUGGGAGCAGCAUCACCCUCUUCUGCCAGCUGAAACCCCAGCUGUACAGCAAGCAGUGCAGGAUAGCUAUUUUCUUUAACAGCUCUGAACGAAAUAGCAGUUACAGCAGUUCAAUCCUCCAGAUGAGCCAAGAAACGUGUCAUGUAUCCAGCAGGGGACUGAUGCUCACCCCAUCUGCACCUGGGAUAAAGGCAGGCUCACGUACAUCAACACUACGCAUGUAGUACAGCUAUCAAACGGGACAGAUAGCUUAUACA